GAUGAACGCUGGCGGCGUGCCUAAUACAUGCAAGUCGAGCGAACGGACGAGAAGCUUGCUUUUCUGAUGUUAGCGGCGGACGGGUGAGUAACAUGUGGAUAACCUACCUAUAAGACUGGGAUAACUUCGGGAAACCGGAGCUAAUACCGGAUAAUAUUUUGAACCGCAUGGUUCAAAAGUGAAAGACGGUCUUGCUGUCACUUAUAGAUGGAUCCGCGCUGCAUUAGCUAGUUGGUAAGGUAACGGCUUACCAAGGCAACGAUGCAUAGCCGACCUGAGAGGGUGAUCGCCCACACUGGAACUUGGACACGGUCCUGACUCCUACGGGAGGCAGCAGUAUGGAAUCUUCCGCAAUGGGCGAGAGCCUGACGGAGCAGCGCCGCGUGAGUGAUGAAGAUCUUCGGAUCGUAAAACUCUGUUAUUAGGUAAAAACAUAUUUGUAAGUAACUGUGCACAUCUUGACGGUACCUAAUCAGAAAGCCACGGCUAACUACGUG
rnacentral:rRNA from 1 species